rnacentral:rRNA from 1 species
GACGAACGCCGGCGGCGUGCUUAACACAUGCAAGUCGAACGAAGUGGCGAACGGGUGAGUAACGCGUAAUCAACCUGCCCUUCAGAGGGGGACAACAAUUGGAAAUGACUGCUAAUACCGCAUACUGAAGGAGGGGAUUGCGUCUGAUUAGCUAGUUGGAGGGGUAACGGCCCACCAAGUCGAUGAACAGUAGCCGUUCGGAUAGAAUGACCUGCGACAUUGGUGCUGAGACACGGCCCAGUCUCCUACGGGAGGCAGCAGUGGGGAAGCUACCGCAAUGGACGAAAGUCUGACCGAGCAACGCCGCGUGAGUGAUGACGGCCUUCGGGUUGUAAAGCUCUUUUAAUCGGGACGCGGUACCGGAAUAGAAAGCCACGGCUAACUACGUGCCAGCAGCCGCGGUAAUUC